rnacentral:rRNA from 1 species
AACGAACGCUGGCGGCAGGCCUAACACAUGCAAGUCGAACGAGAAGCUCUCCUUCGGGGGAGUGGAAAGUGGCAGACGGGUGAGUAACGCGUGGGAACGUACCCUUUGGUUCGGAACAACUCCGGGAAACUGGAGCUAAUACCGGAUGAGCCCUACGGGGGAAAGAUUUAUCGCCGAAGGAUUGGCCCGCGUCCGAUUAGCUAGUUGGUGAGGUAAUGGCUCACCAAGGCGACGAUCGGUAGCUGGUCUGAGAGGAUGAUCAGCCACACUGGGACUGAGACACGGCCCAGACUCCUACGGGAGGCUG